CGGACGGGUGAGUAACACGUGGAUAACCUACCUAUAAGACUGGGAUAACUUCGGGAAACCGGAGUUAAUACCGGAUAAUAUUUUGAACCGCAUGGUUCAAAAGUGAAAGACGGUCUUGCUGUCACUUAUAGAUGGAUCCGCGCUGCAUUAGCUAGUUGGUAAGGUAACGGCUUACCAAGGCAACGAUGCAUAGCCGACCUGAGAGGGUGAUCGGCCACACUGGAACUGAGACACGGUCCAG
rnacentral:rRNA from 1 species